GAUGAACGCUGGCGGCGUGCCUAAUACAUGCAAGUCGAGCGAACAGACGAGGAGCUUGCUCCUCUGAUGUUAGCGGCGGACGGGUAAGUAACACGUGGAUAACCUACCUAUAAGACUGGGAUAACUUCGGGAAACCGGAGCUAAUACCGGAUAACAUGUUGAACCGCAUGGUUCAACAGUGAAAGACGGUCUUGCUGUCACUUAUAGAUGGAUCCGCGCCGCAUUAGCUAGUUGGUAAGGUAACGGCUUACCAAGGCAACGAUGCGUAGCCGACCUGAGAGGGUGAUCGGCAACACUGGAACUGAGACACGGUCCAGACUCCUACGGGAGGCAGCAGUAGGGAAUCUUCCGCAAUGGGCGAAAGCCUGACGGAGCAACGCCGCGUGAGUGAAGAAGGUCUUCGGAUCGUAAAACUCUGUUAUUAGGGAAGAACAAAUGUGUAAGUAACUAUGCACGUCUUGACGGUACCUAAUCAGAAAGCCACGGCUAACUACGUG
rnacentral:rRNA from 1 species